rnacentral:rRNA from 1 species
GAUGAACGCUGGCGGCGUGCCUAAUACAUGCAAGUCGAGCGAGAUGUUAGCGCAUGAACCUUCGGGGGAUUAUGCUAACGGACAGCGGCGGACGGGUGAGUAACGCGUAGGCAACCUGCCCCUGACAGAGGGAUAGCCAUUGGAAACGAUGAUUAAAACCUCAUGACACCGUAGAAGCACAUGCUUCAUCGGUCAAAGAUUUAUCGGUCAGGGAUGGGCCUGCGUCUGAUUAACUAGUUGGUGAGGUAACGGCUCACCAAGGUGACGAUCAGUAGCCGACCUGAGAGGGUGAUCGGCCACAUUGGAACUGAGACACGGUCCAAACUUCUACGGAAGGCAGCAGUAGGGAAUCUUGCACAAUGGGCGAAAGCCUGAUGCAGCAACGCCGCGUGAAGGAUGAAGGCCUUCGGGUUGUAAACUUCUGUUCUAAGGGAAGAAACAAAUGACGGUACCUUAGGAGCAAGCCCCGGCUAACUACGUGCCAGCAGCCGCGGUAAUACGUAGGGGGCAAGCGUUAUCCGGAAUUAUUGGGCGUAAAGAGUGCGUAGGUGGUUACCUAAGCGCAAGGUUUAAUUUAGAGGCUCAACCUCUACUUGCCUUGCGAACUGGGCUACUUGAGUGCAGGAGGGGAAAGCGGAAUUCCUAGUGUAGCGGUGAAAUGCGUAGAUAUUAGGAGGAACACCAGCGGCGAAGGCGGCUUUCUGGACUGUAACUGACACUGAGGCACGAAAGCGUGGGUAGCAAACAGG